rnacentral:rRNA from 1 species
GUCACUGACGAGUUUGAUCCUGGCUCAGAACGAACGCUGGCGGCAGGCCUAACACAUGCAAGUCGAACGAACCUUCGGGUGAGUGGCGCACGGGUGCGUAACACGUGGGAAUAUACACUUCGGUAAGGAAUAACGUAGAGAAAUUUACGCUAAUACCUUAUAAUGACUCCGGUCCAAAGAUUUAUCGCCGAAGGAUUAGCCCGCGCUAGAUUAGUUUGUUGGUGAGGUAAGAGCUCACCAAGACUACGAUCUAUAGCUGGUCUUAGAGGAUGAUCAGCCACACUGGAACUGAGACACGGUCCAGACUCCUACGGGAGGCAGCAGUGAGGAAUAUUGCGCAAUGGAGGAAACUCUGACGCAGCCAUGCCGCGUGAAUGAAGAAGGCCUUAGGGUUGUAAAGUUCUUUCAAUAGUGAAGAUAAUGACGGUAGCUAUAGAAGAAGCUCCGGCUAAAUUCGUG